UACAGAGGGGGCAAGCGUUGUUCGGAAUUACUGGGCGUAAAGGGCGCGUAGGCGGCCUGUUAAGUCGAACGUGAAAUCCCCAGGCUCAACCUGGGAACUGCGUCCGAUACUGGCAGGCUUGAAUCCGGGAGAGGGAUGUGGAAUUCCAGGUGUAGCGGUGAAAUGCGUAGAUAUCUGGAGGAACACCGGUGGCGAAGGCGGCAUCCUGGACCAACACUGACACUGAGGAGCGAAAGCCAGGGGAGCAAACGGG
rnacentral:rRNA from 1 species